rfam:Methanosalsum zhilinae DSM 4017, complete genome.
GCCCAGGUAGCUCAGUUGGGAGAGCGCUGCCCUGAAGAGGCAGUUGUCCCCGGUUCAAGUCCGGGUCUGGGCA